rnacentral:RNase_P_RNA from 1 species
CUUCGGUUGCUCGAAAGAGUAGCCAGGGAGGAAAGUCCGGACUCCAUGAAACAACGGUGCCGGGUAAUGCCCGGCCGGGGAAACCCGAGGGAAAGCGCCACAGAGAACAGACGUCCCCGCCUGCGGGGUCACGGUGAAACGGUGGGGUAAGAGCCCACCGCGGGACUGGCAACAGGACCGGCANNNNNNNNNNAUCCAGGGCUUGACCGUUCAGGGU